UACGGAGGGUGCGAGCGUUGUCCGGAAUCACUGGGCGUAAAGGGCGCGUAGGCGGCCUGAUAAGUAGGGGGUGAAAUCUUGCGGCUUAACCGCAAGGCUGCCUUCUAAACUGUCAGGCUAGAGCACAGUAGAGGCAGGUGGAAUUCCCGGUGUAGUGGUGAAAUGCGUAGAUAUCGGGAGGAACACCAGUGGCGAAGGCGGCUUCCUGGCCUGUUCUUGACGCUGAGGCGCGAAAGCUAGGGGAGCAAACGGGG
rnacentral:rRNA from 1 species